rnacentral:lncRNA from 10 species
CGGGGUUUCACCAUGUGAGCCAGGAUGCUCUCCAUCUCCUGACCUCAUGAUCCGCCCGCCUCGGCCUCCCAAAGUGUUGGGAUUACAAGCGUGAGCCACUGCGCCCGGACUGGAGCUUUUACAAUUUUAACUCCUUAAGGUGAAAAAACGCACUGCUUAUUUUCUUCAAGUCAAAAUGCCUUAAAGGAGCAGUAUCUUGAAUGUGACGUGGCAGACUCAAGGGGAUGCUCUUCAACAUAAAGCAUCAGAAGCCUGAGUAACAUUUUCUGAUCUUGACUCUACGUGACAAGUCGAAAAGAAUUUUUUUCAAUUUAGUUUUUACCAAGUCAGAUUCUAUUUGACAAUAUGGCAGCACUACACAUGGAAAGUAACUUAUUACUUUGGGCAUCUAGUUUAAAUAGAGACAAUCCAUAAUGUGCAUGUGAAAAAAAAUGGCCACUGUUCUUGAAGCAUUGCCCUUGAGCAAGCAACAAGUUUAAAUCUGUCAGUGUGGAAGAAAUUGUUUUUUCUUAAUUGCUUAAUUGUUAACCCUAGGAGAAAAUGACAAUAAAAUUCUACUUCAAAAUGUUUAUGUUUUUGGAAUUACAGGUAUGUAUUAAGGAGUUUUUAAUAAUUCCAAAAAUUGCAUAUAAAAACAAUAUUAUAUAUAAAAUAACAGUAAAAUAAAGGCAUGUUUUAUUAAGAAAGUACAAAUGAUAUGUAUUUUGCCAGAGACAAUAUUUAGAAGAAAAUCGAGUGGCCCUGUGCAGGAGAGGAAGGAAGAGAUUAGAAAUGAGAGAAGCCACCUUAUUUAAUGAAGACUAUAUAAUAAAGACUUCCCUGAUUCCAAACAUUUUGAAAGCCUUAAGGAAAUUUUCUAAUAGAUAUAGGAAAAGUAAUUACCAGUCCAUUAAGUGGCUUAAAUGGUCGACCAUCUUACUGCUGGAUUAGCAAACAAAUUUAGAAGUCAUCAAAAGCUACAAGAUUUUUUUCGUGUUCAUGAUCAUAAAAUACCUCUGUUUCUCUAGAUUCAUUGUGGUUUCAUUACAUUGUUCUUAAUUCAUCAUAUUUUUAAUUGCAUGCAUAUAUAGAUACUAUGUUUGCAUCUACAUAAUAGUGGAAUAUUAAUAAUGAGAAAUUUCAAGGAAAAAUGUUGUAUAAAGAGAUUUUUAUAAUUUUAGGUACAUGUAGAAACCAUAAGUGGAACACUGUAUUAACUGAAUAUCAUUGAGAAACUUCAAGCAAACAUGUUACUGAUAUAAAUUAAAGAAUAAUUGAAAAGGAAAAGACCUCCUUCCUUUUUUCCCCAAAAGGUAAAUGUGUUUUCUUAUAGCUUUAACUACUUGCUGUAAAAUUAAAUGCUUUUAAUUUCUGAUACAAGGGAGCAGAAUACGAUGUUAAUAUUUUCUGUAUGUCUUUUGAUAUUAAUAAUGCAUUGAAAAUAUCUGCAACAUUAAAAUUCUUUCUGUGGGCUUUUUGUGAAUGCUAUUAUGUCAAGCCAUUAAUUGUGCACUUUUCCAAAAGCAGGCAACCUAUCCUGCUAGCUCUUGAAUCAUAUUGUGAAAGCAUAAUUGUAUUCUGUGCAUUCUUGGUUGACAUUAAAAUGGUCUGUUAGUUGUGUCUAGCAGAAUGUCUUCCUUUCUGAAUUAUGUAUUUAGAUAAACUUAUCCAACAACUUCAGAGCAACAUUGUGUUCCUGUCCUCCCAUCUGUAUGUAAGAGUAAAAACUAAGAGGUAGGUUUACUAAUUGGUUAAAAUAUCUUCUUCUCCACAUGUCUUAAAAUAUGAAUAAAAACAUGUAUGAAAAGAACAUUUCACAAAUGACUAUUUCAUACUUAAAGGCAUAUUUGGAAAUCUUAGAUAGUCCAGCAAGGACAACUAUGUAACUGUUACUGAACAUUGGAGUAUAUAAUAGUGAAUUAUAGCUGUCCAAAUAUCACCUAUGUCUGACUAUUGAUCUUUUUAUCUGCCUCUAGUUCUCAAGACUUCAAUUCUUCUCAAUAGCAACAUAUUUUUCAAAUAAUUUAUCUGCAAAAAUUUCCAUGAAUUUUUAAAUUUUAUUAGAACCUAAUAAUUAUUACCUCUUUUGAAUUUUCUCAUAAGGCCUCUAUAAUAUGGCCUUUUCCCUGCUUCAAUUUAUUCCCUGG